GACUCAAACUUCUUUUUACCCCUUCUAUACACCCCCUCGAUCGACGGGUUCUUCGGCCCUUUGCGUGCAUACGACGACGACGUUGAGAUAAAAUCACGGAAGCCCGGAAUGACGACGAUACGGCGACGGGCGAGUGAGUAAAGGGUGCAAUGGUAUAGUUUCUGUAUCGAUGAACGCGAUAAUAAUCCGCCACCGUAGACGUCGACACGCCAACUAUUUAGAAUAUUAUUUAAUGUGCGUUCAUAAAAACGGCUUU